UACAGAGGUCUCAAGCGUUGUUCGGAAUCACUGGGCGUAAAGGGUGUGUAGGCGGCGUGGAAAGUCAGAUGUGAAAUCCGGGGGCUCAACCUCCGAAUUGCAUCCGAUACUGCCAUGCUCGAGGUCUGUAGAGGAGUCUGGAAUUCUCGGUGUAGCAGUGAAAUGCGUAGAGAUCGAGAGGAACACUUGUUGCGAAAGCGAGACUCUGGGCAGAAACUGACGCUGAAACACGAAGGCCAGGGUAGCGAACGGG
rnacentral:rRNA from 1 species